rnacentral:tRNA from 1 species
GCAGUCAUGGCCGAAUGGUUAAUGCUUUAGACUAGAAAUCUUAUCCCCUAAGGGGUCGCAGGUUUGAAUCCCGCUGACUGCU